rnacentral:lncRNA from 1 species
AAUAAUUACACAUAAAAUAAUCAAGAUUUUUGUUAACUGGGUGGAUCAUUAUUUAUAUGAUAUCGCAUACGAAAGACAAAUUUUUGGUUUUAAAAUUAUCUAAUUAACUCUACUCAUUUUUUUAUAUUUUUUAUAUGAUAUCACACAUUCGUAAAAGAAUAGAUAGUUUAAGAUGCAAAAAAAAAAUUAAUUAAUGAAUAUAAUAUGAACGAAUAUUAUAAAGGGCAAAUUUCCAAAAUAGCACCUUUCGAAGUUUAUAUCACAAAAAUAGCACUCAAAAACUAAAAUGACCAAAAUAGCACCUUUCUAAGUUUAUCCUUUGAAAAUUUUAAUUUUUUAUUUUUCAAAAUUUGAAAUCUUAUCCCCAAAACCUCAUUUCUCAACUUUAAACCCUAAACUCUAAAUUCUAAACCCUAAACCCUAAACCCUAAACUCUAAACCCUAAACUCUAAACUCUAAACCCUAAACCUUAAAUCCUAAACCCUAAACUCUAAACCCUAAACCCUAAACUGUAAACCUUAAACCCUAAACCCUAAAUCUUAAACC